rnacentral:tRNA from 1 species
ACGGGAUUAAUGUAAUUGGUAACAGGUCAGUCUCCAAAACUGACGAUACAGGUUCGAAUCCUGUAUCCCGUG